rnacentral:rRNA from 1 species
AUUGAACGCUGGCGGCAGGCUUAACACAUGCAAGUCGAGCGGGGUGAUGGUGCUUGCACUAUCACUUAGCGGCGGACGGGUGAGUAAUGCUUAGGAAUCUGCCUAUUAGUGGGGGACAACAUCUCGAAAGGGAUGCUAAUACCGCAUACGUCCUACGGGAGAAAGCAGGGGGUCACUUGUGACCUUGCGCUAAUAGAUGAGCCUAAGUCGGAUUAGCUAGUUGGUGGGGUAAAGGCCUACCAAGGCGACGAUCUGUAGCGGGUCUGAGAGGAUGAUCCGCCACACUGGGACUGAGACACGGCACAGACUCCUACGGGAGGCAGCAGUGGGGAAUAUGGGGCAAUGGGGGGAACCCUGAUCCAGCCAUGCCGCGUGUGUGAAGAAGGCCUUAUGGUUGUAAAGCACUUUAAGCGAGGAGGAGGCUCUUUUGGUUAAUACCCAAGAUGAGUGGACGUUACUCGCAGAAUAAGCACCGGCUAACUCUGUGCCAGCAGCCGCAGUAA